GACGAACGCUGGCGGCGUGCUUAACACAUGCAAGUCGAGCGGAAAGGCCACUUCGGUGGUACUCGAGCGGCGAACGGGUGAGUAACACGUGAGUAAUCUGCCCCUGGCUUUGGGAUAGCCACCGGAAACGGUGAUUAAUACCGGAUACGACCACUUCUCGCAUGGGCUGGUGGUGGAAAGUUUUUUCGGCCAGGGAUGUGCUCGCGGCCUAUCAGCUUGAUGGUGAGGUAAUGGCUCACCAUGGUUUCGACGGGUCGCCGGCCGGGGAGGGUGACCGGUCACACUGGGACUGAGACACGGCCCAGACUCCUACGGGAGGCAGCAGUGGGGAAUAUUGGACAGUGGGCGGAAGCCUGAUCCAGCAACGCCGCGUGAGGGAUGACGGCCUUCGGGUUGUAAACCUCUUUCAGCAGGGACGAAGCGCAAGCGACGGUACCUGCAGAAGAAGCACCGGCCAACUACGUGCCAGCCGCCGCGGUAA
rnacentral:rRNA from 1 species